GGAAUUAGAAUACAUUGGAGCAAUACUCCAUAUUUUUGAAGUAAAAUGAUCUCCAAACCAGAAUUCUAUACCCAGCCACACUACCAAUGAGGAAGCUACUAGAGGAUGUGCUUCAUCCAAACAAGGGAGUAAACCAAGAAAGAGGGAAACAUAGAACACUGGACUUAAGAAAUCCAACAAUGAGAAGCAAAGGGAAUCUCCUGGAUGAUGAUAAAGAGAGAGCCCAGGAUGAAAGCUGUAUGCCAGGGAAGGUCCUGAUUAGACCAUGUGACAAGUCUUCAGGAAAGACUGCUUCUGGAUGAUAAAAUGAACUGAAUACCUGUUAAAGACUUGGGGGUCAAAUUUGUAAUAAGUACCAAGCAAAGAAGAAUUUAAAAAAUGACGAGUCCCAAGGGAAACAAUAUGUUGUAAAGAAAAAGUAGCUAUAGUUUGUUCAUGACAUAACUGUAACUUGCCUUGUACAUGGCAAUAUAAACACCGAAUCUUCCUGACUUUGUGAAAGAACAAUAUUGGGCAAAUGCGCAGGUUUUGGAAGGUUCCAUAUGUAGGGGGAUGGAGGGAGAGAUUAGCAAAAUCCUCCUUUUCUAUAGCUAAUACCUAUAAAGUGCUACAACACCC